GGAUGUGAAGGCGAUCGGGCUGCGACAUCUGCCACCCCAUUGAUCCCCAGGGUUGACUCAGCUGAUCUGGCUGGCUAGCAGGUGUCCCCUCCCUCCCUCACCACUCCAUGUGCGUCCCUCUCAAAGCUGCAUGCUCAGUUGAAGAGGAUGACCUUCCCCAACAGAGGAGAGGACCAUUUUUCAAUCAAGGGUUAAAACGAAAUGAAUAAUUAAUUAAAAAUAAACAUAUUCAGAAUUUGAUCCUCACCGAAUCU
rnacentral:snRNA from 1 species